UACCAGCUCUCCGAGUGGUGGGGAUGAUUAUUUGGCCUAAAGCGUCCGUAGCCGGCCGGGUAAGUCUCCCGUUAAAUCCAGCGUCUCAAGCGUUGGACUGCGGGAGAUACUGCCUGGCUAGAGAGUGGGAGAGGUGUACGGUAUUCUGGGGGUAGGGGCGAAAUCCUUUGAUCCCCGGAGGACCACCAGUGGCGAAGGCUGUACACUAGAACACGUCUGACGGUCAGGGACGAAAGCUGGGGUAGCGAACCGGAUUAGAUACCCGGGUAGUCCCAGCCGUAAACGAUGCAUGCUAGGUGUUGGGUUGGCCACGAGCCACCCCAGUGCCGCAGGGAAGCCGUUAAGCAUGCCGCCUGGGAAGUACGAUCGCAAGAUUAGAAACUUAAAGGAAUUGGGCGGGGGAGCACCACCAGGCGUGAAGCCCGCGGUUU
rnacentral:rRNA from 1 species